AGGGCACCAACCCCUGCAGUGUCAACAACGGU
rnacentral:piRNA from 1 species